GAUGAAGAACGCAGCGAAAUGCGAUAAGUAAUGUGAAUUGCAGAAUUCAGUGAAUCAUCGAAUCUUUGAACGCACAUUGCGCCCCCUGGUAUUCCGGGGGGCAUGCCUGUCCGAGCGUCAUUACAACCCUCAAGCUCAGCUUGGUGUUGGGCCCCGCCGCCCCGGCGGGCCCUAAAGUCAGUGGCGGUGCCGUCCGGCUCCGAGCGUAGUAAUUCUUCUCGCUCUGGAGGUCCGGUCGUGUGCUCGCCAGCAACCCCCAACUUUUUUCAGGUUGACCUCGGAUCAGGUAGGGAUACCCGCUGAACUUAAGCAUAUCAAUAAGCGGAGGA
rnacentral:misc_RNA from 1 species